GUUAUAGCAUGGGCAGUGGCAAUUCAAUCUUCCCCCAUACUGCCAAAUUAAAGUACCUUAA
rnacentral:sRNA from 1 species